UACAGAGGGUGCAAGCGUUACUCGGAAUUACUGGGCGUAAAGCGUGCGUAGACGGUUAUGUAAGUCGGGUGUGAAAGCCCCGGGCUCAACCUGGGAAUGCCAUUCGAGACUGCAUAGCUAGGGUGCGGAAGAGGGAAGCGGAAUUUCAGGUGUAGCGGUGAAAUGCGUAGAUAUCUGGAGGAACACCGGUGGCGAAGGCGGCAUUCUGGACCGAAACUGACGCUGAGGCGCGAAAGCCAGGGGAGCAAACAGG
rnacentral:rRNA from 1 species